rnacentral:lncRNA from 1 species
AUAUUGCGCAUCUUUCCAAAAUGCGCGUUAUCCACGAGCAGUGUCAUCUCAAAGCGAACCUUAUCCUUUCCAGCCAAUGGCUGCCUCCGAUUUUUAGCCACGUGAUCGUUUAGACGUUUUAACUUGCGUGAUUAGGUUAGGUUAUUUUACUGUUUAUUAUUAAAAGAGUGUAAAUUCUGUAUACUUAAUUAGUGAAGUAAAACCUAAUUAUUGUUCUUACCGACAAAGUACGUGUUUAAUAUUUUAAACUGUUAUGGAAGAAGCACCAACCUAAAGAAGUACUAAAAGGUUGUGGCAAAAAGAAGGUUUCUAAUCCAAAACUGUGGGCAAAAAUACAAAAAAAAUAACAGAUAUGCAGCAAAGAGAGAUUACUGCGAAAGUUAUUUUCCAGAACCUGCUGAAUUAAGAGUUUAAUAAC